AUUCUACCCAUGCGGGGAAGGAUGAGAAGCUUCGACUAAGGUUCGAUUCGAGCGCAGCG
rnacentral:sRNA from 1 species